AAGACUAUAGACCUGCGGAGUACCUGCGGAAGGAUCAUUAACGAGUUGCAAAACUCCCAAACCCUUGUGAACCUUACCUAUACCGUUUCUUCGGCGGGCGGCUUCAGCCCUAACCUGCCUCCCUCCGGGGAGGCGGACCCGCCGGAGGCUCCUAAACUCUUGAUUUUUGUUGGCCUCUCUGAGUAAACUUUUAAAUAAGUCAAAACUUUUAGCAAUGGAUCUCUAGAUCGGAAGAGCACA
rnacentral:misc_RNA from 1 species